ACAGCGACGCUGCGGGAUUUUUCACAGAAGGAAAUUCCAGUCUUGGGAUGGUUCACAGCCAGAGUUGUACGCGGGAACAACUCGGCUUGCGUCCGCUUUUACGUUGUUCUCCAAGGCAUGGCACUACUGGGACUAGACACGGUGCACCGGCUACAGUUGCACAUCAUCGGUUCUACAUUGGAGUGCCUACAAGUCAUGGCCAGCCCCCAGUCGCUUCCUCCUGAAUUGUAGGUGGUGGAGCCGCUGCGACGGCUUCUUCGUAAAGGACAGAAGUUCGUGUGGGACCAGAGCACCGAGGAGAGUUUUUGCAGGGUCAAGAAGA